CAGGAGCUCACAAGGUGCUUGCUUGUCUUAGGCGGGAAGUCAGGGGUGGCUUCCUGGAGCAGGGAAUACUGGGAAUCACCCCUUGAAAAUGGCUGUUCAGAAGGACUGAGGCAGGCUUUGGGCACCUUCUCCACUAGGUCUGACCUUCCGUGGAGAGAAAGUAAGGUCUUGAGAUGUCUACCCUUCCUCAGUAACUUCUGUCCUUUUAAAGUCUUGAAGUCAGAUAAUAGGAGAAGAGCAAGCCAAGAGCCCCCACUUCCUCAGUUUAAUGAUUUGGGCUCCUACCUAGUUUGGCUUUCUAGAGGAACUCCAGCCUCGGUUCUUAGAGCUAUAAAUUGGGAGCACAGGGUGGACUCCACACACCCUUGUCAUCAGUGCCGUGAGGGCCAUUUGGCAGGUUUGCUAGUAUUCACUUUAUCAGCCCAGUGUAUCAGAACCCAGAGGCUCCUUCCUGUGAGGAACCCCAACUAGCAGUCACAAUUGUCCCCUAAACUGGCAUUAUUCUGUUGGUACCCCCACUUACUCCAUCAGGUCCUUUUUUGGACCCCUGAGGAACUGCAUGAGAAUAAGGUCAGUAGCCUGCUCUCAACAAGGUGGGACGGCUAGGGAGUGAUCCAGAAGGGCAGGCUACUGGGAUUCCUAUUACUACAGUGUCAAUCCCCAAUUACAUACACAGAAAACCCUCCAGGCCCGGGUGGCCCAAGCCUGAAAGCUCAACAUUCAGAAGGCUGAAGCGGGGAGAUCUACUGCGUCAGAAAACGAAAGGAAAAA
rnacentral:lncRNA from 1 species